rnacentral:rRNA from 1 species
UAGGGAAUCUUCCACAAAUGGACGAAAGUCUGAUGGAGCAACGCCGCGUGAGUGAAGAAGGGUUUCGGCUCGUAAAACUCUGUUGUUAAAGAAGAACAUAUCUGAGAGUAACUGUUCAGGUAUUGACGGUAUUUAACCAGAAAGCCACGGCUAACUACGUGCCAG